rnacentral:tRNA from 1 species
GAUAAAAUGGCUGAUUAAAGGUUGUAAAUUGUAAAUUUAUAUAUAGAUAAAUGUUUAUCUUUUUAUCA